GACUUUAUAGCUGAGUUAGUACUAAGGGCACCACACUGGUAAUAUGGAGCUGGUCAUGGGUUCAAAUCCUGUUGAAGCUCCUCA